UACAGAGGGUGCGAGCGUUAAUCGGAAUUACUGGGCGUAAAGCGCGCGUAGGCGGCCAACUAAGUCAGACGUGAAAUCCCCAGGCUUAACCUGGGAACUGCGUCUGAUACUGGAUGGCUUGAAUUCGGGAGAGGGAUGCAGAAUUCCAGGUGUAGCGGUGAAAUGCGUAGAUAUCUGGAGGAAUACCGGUGGCGAAGGCGGCAUCCUGGACCGACAUUGACGCUGAGGAGCGAAAGCUAGGGGAGCAAACGGG
rnacentral:rRNA from 1 species